AUCGCGCCGCGCGCUUGCUCUGC
rnacentral:piRNA from 1 species